UGGGGAAUAUUGGACAAUGGGCGAAAGCCUGAUCCAGCCAUGCCGCGUGUGUGAAGAAGGUCUUCGGAUUGUAAAGCACUUUAAGUUGGGAGGAAGGGCAUUAACCUAAUACGUUAGUGUUUUGACGUUACCGACAGAAUAAGCACCGGCUAACUCUGUGCCAGCAGCCGCGGUAAUACAGAGGGUGCAAGCGUUAAUCGGAAUUACUGGGCGUAAAGCGCGCGUAGGUGGUUUGUUAAGUUGGAUGUGAAAUCCCCGGGCGCAACCUGGGAACUGCAUUCAAAACUGACUGACUAGAGUAUGGUAGAGGGUGGUGGAAUUUCCUGUGUAGCGGUGAAAUGCGUAGAUAUAGGAAGGAACACCAGUGGCGAAGGCGACCACCUGGACUAAUACUGACACUGAGGUGCGAAAGCGUGGGGAGCAAACA
rnacentral:rRNA from 1 species